AGUUUGAACCUGGCUCAGGACGAACGCUGGCGGCGUGCUUAACACAUGCAAGUCGAGCGAUGAAGCUCCUUCGGGAGUGGAUUAGCGGCGGACGGGUGAGUAACACGUGGGUAACCUGCCUCAUAGAGGGGAAUAGCCUUUCGAAAGGAAGAUUAAUACCGCAUAAGAUUGUAGUACCGCAUGGUACAGCAAUUAAAGGAGUAAUCCGCUAUGAGAUGGACCCGCGUCGCAUUAGCUAGUUGGUGAGGUAACGGCUCACCAAGGCGACGAUGCGUAGCCGACCUGAGAGGGUGAUCGGCCACAUUGGGACUGAGACACGGCCCAGACUCCUACGGGAGGCAGCAGUGGGGAAUAUUGCACAAUGGGGGAAACCCUGAUGCAGCAACGCCGCG
rnacentral:rRNA from 1 species